CAGAGGCUACUGCCAUCAGAGUUCGAUUAAGCCAUGUUAGUCGAGGGUGCUUCUUCUUCGGAAGAAGUAACCCGGCGGACGGCUCAGUAACACGUGGAUAACUUGCCCUUGGUUCCGGGAUAACCCCUGAGAAAUUGGGGACAAUACCGGAUAGGGCAUCGAUAGCUGGAAUGCGCGAUGUCCAAAAGCUGAGGCGCCCAAGGAUAGGCCUGCGGCCGAUUAGGUUGUUGUUGAUGUAAUGGAUCAACAAGCCUGCAAUCGGUACGGGUUGUGAGAGCAAGAGCCCGGAGAUGGGUUCUGAGAAAAGAACCCAGGUCCUACGGGACGCAUCAGGCGCGAAAACUUUACAAUGUGCGAAAGCACGAUAAGGGAACUCUGAGUGCCUCCUAUGGAGGCUGUUCAGGUGUCUAAAAAGCACUUGAAGUAAGGGCUGGGUAAGACCUGUGCCAGCCGCCGCGGUAACACCGGCAGCCCAAGUGGUAGCCACGAUUAUUGGGUCUAAAGCGUCCGUAGCCGGCCAGGUAAGUUCUUUGGGAAAUUUAACCGCUCAACGGUUAAGCUUUCAGGGAAUACUGCUUGGCUUGGGACCGGGAGAGGUCAGAGGUACUUCAAGGGUAGGGGUGAAAUCCGUUAAUCCUUGAGGGACCACCAGUAGCGAAGGCGUCUGACCAGACCGGGUCCGACGGUGAGGGACGAAGGCUAGGGUCGCGAACCGGAUUAGAUACCCGGGUAGUCCUAGCUGUAAACGAUGCGGGCCAGGUGUUGGCAUUACUGCGAGUGAUGUCAGUGCCGAAGGGAAGCCGUUAAGCCCGCCAUCUGGGGAGUACGGUCGCAAGGCUGAAACUUAA
rnacentral:rRNA from 1 species